rnacentral:siRNA from 1 species
CGCGUGCCGGCCGGGGGAC